rnacentral:rRNA from 1 species
AUUGAACGCUGGCGGCAGGCCUAACACAUGCAAGUCGAACGAGUGGCGGACGUGUGAGUAAUGUCUGGGAAUCUGCGUGAUGGAGGGGGAUAACUAGUGGAAACGGUAGCUAAUCCCGCAUACCAUCGGAUGUGCCCAGGUGGGUUUCGUUUGUAGGUGGGGUAAAGGCUCACCUAGGCGACGAUCCCUAGCUGGUAGGAGAGGAUGACGAGCCACACGGGAACUGAGACACGGUCCAGACUCCUACGUGAGGCAGCAGUGGGGAAUAUUGCACAAUGGGCGCAAGCCGGAUGCAGCCAUGCCGCGGGUAUGAAGAAGGCCUUCGGGUUGUAAAGUACUUGCAUCGGGGAGGCGUUACCCGCAGAAGAAGCACCGGCUAACUCCGUGCCAGCAGCCGCGGUAAUAC